AGAAGGGAUAGAAGAGAGAUCAGAAGACAGAGGAAGACGUUUGCCUGGGACACUCUCAUGAGGGUUGGGAGUAUUAUCUUUGGAGCGGCUGGGAGGAUUAUCUUCAAAGUGCCUGGUUUAUUUUUGGAGCCCUUUGAGGAUUAUCUUCAGAGCAUCUGGGAGGAUUAUCUUCAAAGCAGAUGGAUUAUCUUCAGAGCGGCUUGAUUAUCUUCCGAGAGGUUGGAUUAUCUUCAGGUCGGAUGGGAGGAUUACCGUCAGAACGGCUGGGAGGUGUAUCUUCAGGCUAUUGACACAUGUGGAUUUUCACAGAGGUUCGCAACGCGGUUUUUAUGCAGAGGUCGGCUUUUUUAAAAACUGCACUGAAACUGCGCCGAACAUCCGCACGUGUAUCCAUAGCCUCAGAGCUGCUGGGAGAAUAAUAUUCGAAACGGCUGUGAGGAUUAUUUUCAGAUUGGAUGGGAGGAUUAUCUCCAGAGCGGUUUUGAGGAUUAUCUUCAGAGCGGCUGGGAGGAUUAUAUUCAGGUCGGAUGGGAGGAUUUUCUUCAUUGCGACUGAGAGGAUUAUUUUCAUAUGGACUAAGUGAAUUAUCCGCAGUGCAGAUGGGAGGAUUAUCUUCAGAGCAGCUGGGAGGAUCAUCUUCAGAGCGAUUGAGAGGAAACUGAGAGGAUUAAUUUAAAAGCUUUUGGGAGGAUUUUCUUUGUUGUGAUUGAGCAGAUGAUCUUAAUAUGGAUUGAGUGAAUUAUCCGCAGUGCAGAUGGGAGGAUUAUUUCCAGAGCGGUUGUGUGGAUUAUCUUCAUAGCGGCUGGGAGGAUUAUCUGCAAAGUGUCUAGAACGAUUCAUUUAGGAGCGGCUGGGAGGAUUAUCUUCAGAGUGGCUGUAGAGCUGUACUCCUUUUUUAUCUUCAUUAUCAAUGUGGACACGAAUCCUGCCAAACUUGUCAUCCAACACCCUGAGCAUGAUAAGUCCAUGGACCUCCAUAUUCUGAAGGCCUCCAUCACGACUGCAGGUCAUUGCAGCAGCCUGGAAGUCUCCCAUCUUGGACUUUCCUGAGGUUAAACGGAGGCUGGAUAAUGAUCUCAUUCUGGAGAAACUAACUAGCUACACAAAUGGUGCGCAGAAAUCUUUCCACAAAGUCUGGUCCCCCUGGUUAUCAUACCGAAAUAUCUCUUUAACCUAAAUGCUCUUAGUUGCCCUCCCACUCUGACUCAAGGGAUACCCUAAAUUUUCUUGACCCAAUGCUGAACCUGUAAGUGCAGAAAUGACGACAGUACUCGCACGUGUUAAAGGCAAAUGUUUGUUUGGUUUAUCUGUUUCCUUUUGAUCAUUUCUUUUCUUCAUUUUCAUUCUUCCUUUUUCUUUUCUUUUUUGUAUAAUUUCCUUGCCUGCUACUUAGGCUACUCUAUUACACAACUCAGGAAUGUACUUUAUGUACCAAUGCGACACAAUACUGCUGCAGCCUGGGAAUUGUCCAGUGCCUGCAGAUUCUGAGUUUUACUAUGUACCCAUUUUUGCUACAUGCUGAUCUUUGAAAAUAAAAAUUUUAAAUAAAAAAAAAAAUAUUAUAUAAA